AGUGCGAUAACUAGUGUGAAUUGCAUAUUCAGUGAAUCAUCGAGUCUUUGAACGCAGCUUGCACUCUAUGGUUUUUCUAUAGAGUACGCCUGCUUCAGUAUCAUCACAAACCCACACAUAACAUUUGUUUAUGUGGUAAUGGGUCGCAUCGCUGUUUUA
rnacentral:rRNA from 1 species